rnacentral:misc_RNA from 1 species
GAUGAAGAACGUAGUGAAAUGCGAUAAGUAAUGUGAAUUGCAGAAUUCAGUGAAUCAUCGAAUCUUUGAACGCACAUUGCGCCCGCCAGUAUUCUGGCGGGCAUGCCUGUCUGAGCGUCAUUUCAACCCUCAUGCCCCUAGGGCGUGGUGUUGGGGAUCGGCCAAAGCCCGCGAGGGACGGCCGGCCCCUAAAUCUAGUGGCGGACCCGUCGUGGCCUCCUCUGCGAAGUAGUGAUAUUCCGCAUCGGAGAGCGAUGAGCCCCUGCCGUUAAACCCCCAACUUUCCAAGGUUGACCUCAGAUCAGGUAGGAAUACCCGCUGAACUUAAGCAUAUCAAUAAGCGGAGGA